GGGCGUGUGCCGGAGUGGCCAAACGGGGCAGACUGUAAAUCUGUUGGCGAAAGCCUACGGGGGUUCGAAUCCCUCCGCGCCCAC
rnacentral:tRNA from 2 species